rnacentral:rRNA from 1 species
CACGUAGGCACCAAGCGUUGUCCGGAUUUAUUGGGCGUAAAGAGCUCGUAGGCGGUUCGGUAAGUCGGGUGUGAAAACUCUGGGCUCAACCCAGAGCCGCCACCCGAUACUGCUGUGACUCGAGUGCGGUAGGGGAGCGGGGAAUUCCUGGUGUAGCGGUGAAAUGCGUAGAUAUCGAGAGGAACACCUGCGGCGAAGGCGGGUUGCUGGGCUGACACUGACGCUGAAGCGCGAAAGCUAGGGGAGCGAACGGG